AGUCCAAAGAGCGAGGAGAGCCAGGACUCCGACGUCCAGAGCUUGGGGUCGAUCGACCGACUGGUCGAAGAGCACGGGUCCGUCGACUUGUACAACAGUUAUUUGACCGCCGAGCGCGAGAACUUCGGGCACCGGUGAGAUGGCACAU
rnacentral:ribozyme from 1 species